rnacentral:lncRNA from 10 species
GCUAGCUCUGGGGCCACCAGUUUUAGACUGCAAGGGAAAAUUGGUGAAUGGAGUUAGCAUAGAGGGCAGCUGCCUGGCUAUAGUUUGGGAUUUCUUCUGAGCUGAAGCAGAAGGAAAGAUUUAGCAACUGUUUGUCGUGGCAGAAAAUCAUCUCUGAUCGUUUGUGGGGCAGAGGAUUGGAGUCAAGAAGAUAUAGACAAUUUCAAACGAGAAAUCCUGACCUGUGUUGUGUGGAGCUGUGUUUGCUUGAUGAACCUGUUAUAACUCCAUCCACCUUCACUCCAAGGAUAUGGUGCUUGGGACUACUGCAGUCACAUUACAACCAAGAAAAAUAAGUCGUGAGGACAAGGGCCAGUGUGCAAAUAUUUGCAAAGCAGGAAGACCAAAAGAACCUGGCUCAUGGAUGACAUCAUUAAGUCAGUGGAUUAUCCUUGGAAUUGACUUACCUCUGGGCUAUGCGUGACAUAUGAAACUCAUUAUUAUGGAAAACACUUUUUGCUAGGUUUUGUGUACUUGCAGUGAAUGGAGAUCGUUUGGCGAAUUGAAUCAGGUCCUCAAGUUUCAUCGCCAUUGACUACUGAAGGUGUGAUUUGCAGCAAGCUCCUUUACUUUCCCUAUGGUUUUCCCUGCUACAAAAUGCGGCAAUUCUUAACUCACAGAAUUCUUGAGAUGAUUAAAUAGGAUAUGUAUGGUUCUGAGUGCAGAAUAUCGAACACAGAGGCCUUUGAUAGUAACAAGAGGCUUCUACUCUGUGUUAGGAACUAUUUCACGGACUGGCAAUACCUAGAUGAAUAAAAACCAGCACAGCCUCUGACUUCAAAGAACCCACUAAAGUUGAGAUGCCCUAGGGAUUAAAUAAGACAGUGUCCCUAAAGCUAUCUAGCGUAUGU